rnacentral:rRNA from 1 species
CGAGGUAUCAGAAGUGCGAAUGCUGACAUAAGUAACGAUAAAGCGGGUGAAAAGCCCGCUCGCCGGAAGACCAAGGGUUCCUGUCCAACGUUAAUCGGGGCAGGGUGAGUCGACCCCUAAGGCGAGGCCGAAAGGCGUAGUCGAUGGGAAACAGGUUAAUAUUCCUGUACUUGGUGUUACUGCGAAGGGGGGACGGAGAGGCUAUGUUGGCCGGGCGACGGUUGUCCCGGUUUAAGCGUGUAGGCUGGUUUUCCAGGCAAAUCCGGAAAAUCAAGGCUGAGGCGUGAUGACGAGGCACUACGGUGCUGAAGCAACAAAUGCCCUGCUUCCAGGAAAAGCCUCUAAGCAUCAGGUAACAUCAAAUCGUACCCCAAACCGACACAGGUGGUCAGGUAGAGAAUACCAAGGCGCUUGAGAGAACUCGGGUGAAGGAACUAGGCAAAAUGGUGCCGUAACUUCGGGAGAAGGCACGCUGAUAUGUAGGUGAAGCGACUUGCUCGUGGAGCUGAAAUCAGUCGAAGAUACCAGCUGGCUGCAACUGUUUAUUAAAAACACAGCACUGUGCAAACACGAAAGUGGACGUAUACGGUGUGACGCCUGCCCGGUGCCGGAAGGUUAAUUGAUGGGGUCAGCGCAAGCGAAGCUCUUGAUCGAAGCCCCGGUAAACGGCGGCCGUAACGAUAACGGUCCUAAGGUAGCGAAAUUCCUUGUCGGGUAAGUUCCGACCUGCACGAAUGGCGUAAUGAUGGCCAGGCUGUCUCCACCCGAGACUCAGUGAAAUUGAACUCGCUGUGAAGAUGCAGUGUACCCGCGGCAAGACGGAAAGACCCCGUGAACCUUUACUAUAGCUUGACACUGAACAUUGAGCCUUGAUGUGUAGGAUAGGUGGGAGGCUUUGAAGUGUGGACGCCAGUCUGCAUGGAGCCGACCUUGAAAUACCACCCUUUAAUGUUUGAUGUUCUAACGUGGACCCGUGAUCCGGGUUGCGGACAGUGUCUGGUGGGUAGUUUGACUGGGGCGGUCUCCUCCUAAAGAGUAACGGAGGAGCACGAAGGUUGGCUAAUCCUGGUCGGACAUCAGGAGGUUAGUGCAAUGGCAUAAGCCAGCUUGACUGCGAGCGUGACGGCGCGAGCAGGUGCGAAAGCAGGUCAUAGUGAUCCGGUGGUUCUGAAUGGAAGGGCCAUCGCUCAACGGAUAAAAGGUACUCCGGGGAUAACAGGCUGAUACCGCCCAAGAGUUCAUAUCGACGGCGGUGUUUGGCACCUCGAUGUCGGCUCAUCACAUCCUGGAGCUGAAGUAGGUCCCAAGGGUAUGGCUGUUCGCCAUUUAAAGUGGUACGCGAGCUGGGUUUAGAACGUCGUGAGACAGUUCGGUCCCUAUCUGCCGUGGGCGCUGGAGACUGAGGGGGGCUGCUCCUAGUACGAGAGGACCGGAGUGGACGCAUCACUGGUGUUCGGGUUGUCAUGCCAAUGGCACUGCCCGGUAGCUAAAUGCGGAAGAGAUAAGUGCUGAAAGCAUCCAAGCACGAAACUUGCCCCGAGAUGAGUUCUCCCUGACUCCUUGAGAGUCCUGAAGGAACGUUGAAGACGACGACGUUGAUAGGCCGGGUGUGUAAGCGCAGCGAUGCGUUGAGCUAACCGGUACUAAUGAACCGUGAGGCUUAACCUU